rnacentral:lncRNA from 1 species
UUCUUGAACACCUCUGGGGAUGGUGACUGCACCACCUCCCUGAUGCCAUGGAAAGGGACACAGUAUGGACCAACCCCCAGGGGACACAGCUUCUGCACCUUACAGGAACACUGAGCAAAUGGAAUUCUGCCCUCUCAAAAGGUGUGAACACUUUGAGGUGAGUUUGUCCUUUUCAGUGGCAGCCCACCCAGGAAUACAGUGUGAUCUGCCCGUGUGCUGCUUAUGUCAAAGUGCCCUGCUCUCCCCUUUAUGACCUAGGCUGCUUUGAGACUCCAGCCCAGUCCAACACAUCUCAGCUUUAAAAGCAUGUGUUUCUGAAAGGAGGCACGAGGCUAGAUGGCUAGGGCGGAGCAGAGGGACCAACGCCCCUGCUUGAGGAAAAACCCUCAGAUCUCAUGCCAAAGCACAGCUUUCAGAUUGCACUGGGGCAUGUACCAGCUUACGCCCAGCGAGAAAGCAGACAGAGGCACGCUGCGGUCACUGAGGCUGGGGGCUCAAGCUGCCUUCUUCAGUGGCCACCCCUUUGCUGCAUGCACCUUUUGCCUACACGCGAAACCGUUAGAGAGGGGAAAGUGCAUCCUCUACCCUAUAACCCCGUGGAACUCGUUGGAAGAGACGGAAGGAAUAUAUGAGCAGAAGAAAGGAGGGCAAUGGUUACAUCUCCACAGCUCAGAGAAUAGAGAGCACACCUCGGAGUGGGAAAGUUCAUGCAUUUGCCUUUUAUCCGAUUCUGAUUUAAUGUAAAAUAUAUUCAGAGAGAUUUUUUUUUAAGUGUGAA